GCCGCAGUGGUGAAAUGGCAUACACGUACGCUUCAGAAGCGUAUGGGGAAACCCGUAGAGGUUCAACUCCUCUCUGCGGCA
rnacentral:tRNA from 1 species